UAUUGGUCAGAAUAGAGGAGUCAAG
rnacentral:piRNA from 1 species